UGCUCACGAAAGCCAAGCUUGUCCCAUUUCCACUCUUGGACACUUGAUGUUACCCCAAACACCGGCAGCCGCAGACCCAAGGGAAAAUUAGAAUUUAAGAAAAAAAAAUGGAUUCUUAAGUUGACAGCACUUUGAGCUGAACUUGGGGUAUUUUGAGUUCAGUUGCAUGGCCAAGGGCAGAACUACCUCUAGUGGGAGGACAAUCAUCUUGUGCUUUUCCAGACUCAUUUUUUUGAAAAGUUGAGUGAAAAAUGGUAUAGAUGUACAGAGGACUCCCCUGGCCAGCAUGCUGCCUGGGAGACUCAGCGCUCCUUACGAAUCCUCUACGUCCAUUUAGACCAAGCGAAAACACAUUUUCUUGGUUAUCUACAUGAGAGUAUUGGACUCGCUUCUUGAAUGCACCACAGAUGAAUCAACGACUCAUAGACUUUCUUGCCAUUCUUCGACCUUACGGGACAAGACCUGGACAAGAAAGACCAUGGCUCUGGAUGCUUCUGCAAGACCUCCUCUCUUUUUCUCUCCAGUCUCCUUAGGAUUCAAAAUAUCACUCCUGUCCUGGCUGAAGCAGACCAGUGGCCCCUUAGAAGAGUGUUCGCCAUGGAAAGCAUCUUGUUUUACAUAUUUGGCACAGAAUGUGUCUUGAUCUCAUUCCCCACAGCUGGCUCCGUGCUAGUUCACUAACAGCUCCAUUUACUGGGAAGGAACAGAGAGUCCCGGGGAUGCUUUAGACAAGUGGUUGGUCAGCCCCAGCAGCCAACAGCUAAGUGAAUGCUGUUUUUAUAAACCAUCCCCACUGCCCCCACCUAAUUUAUGGAGCUUGGAAAUAAAAAAUAGAAGCGAGGUAAUGGAGAACUGUCAAUCAUUACAUCAAGAGGUUUUAAUCGGAGGCAGAUAGAUCUCCAGGUAUCUGAGAAAUUGCAAAAAUCUGAGGUUAGGA